UGUUGUGAGCUCGAUGAGUAGGGCGGGACACGUGGUAUCCUGUCUGAAUAUGGGGGGACCAUCCUCCAAGGCUAAAUACUCCUGACUGACCGAUAGUGAACCAGUACCGUGAGGGAAAGGCGAAAAGAACCCCGGCGAGGGGAGUGAAAAAGAACCUGAAACCGUGUACGUACAAGCAGUGGGAGCACAGGUUUACCUGUGUGACUGCGUACCUUUUGUAUAAUGGGUCAGCGACUUAUAUUCUGUAGCAAGGUUAACCGUAUAGGGGAGCCGGAGGGAAACCGAGUCUUAAUUGGGCGUUAAGUUGCAGGGUAUAGACCCGAAACCCGGUGAUCUAGCCAUGGGCAGGUUGAAGGUUGGGUAACACUAACUGGAGGACCGAACCGACUAAUGUUGAAAAAUUAGCGGAUGACCUGUGGCUGGGGGUGAAAGGCCAAUCAAACCGGGAGAUAGCUGGUUCUCCCCGAAAGCUAUUUAGGUAGCGCCUCGUGAAUUCAUCUCCGGGGGUAGAGCACUGUUUCGGCUAGGGGGCCAUCCCGGCUUACCAACCCGAUGCAAACUGCGAAUACCGGAGAAUGUUAUCACGGGAGACACACGGCGGGUGCUAACGUCCGUCGUGAAGAGGGAAACAACCCAGACCGCCAGCUAAGGUCCCAAAGUCAUGGUUAAGUGGGAAACGAUGUGGGAAGGCCCAGACAGCCAGGAUGUUGGCUUAGAAGCAGCCAUCAUUUAAAGAAAGCGUAAUAGCUCACUGGUCGAGUCGGCCUGCGCGGAAGAUGUAACGGGGCUAAACCAU
rnacentral:rRNA from 1 species